AAGUCGUAACAAGGUAUCUGUAGGUGAACCUGCAGAUGGAUCAUUUCGAUGAAAACCUUUUUUUCUGAGGUGUGGCUCGCACCUGUCUAACUAAACUUGAGCUACCUUUAUAACACGGUUGCAUCGGUUGGGCCUGUCGAACAGUGCAAAUACGCGCUGGGAGACGGUCUCGACACUUUUAACCAAACACUUUUGAUGAUCUAGGAUUUGAAUGAAGUUCAUUUUUACGAUGGAACCGACUGGUAAUGCGGUCGACUAAAUCUAAAAAACAACUUUUGGCAACGGAUCUCUUGGUUCUCC
rnacentral:misc_RNA from 1 species